rnacentral:tRNA from 1 species
GCGGAUGUAGCCAAAUGGAUCAAGGCAGUUGAUUGUGAAUCCACCGCGGAUCAAGGCAGUUGAUUGUGAAUCCAUCGCGCGCGGGUUCAAUUCCCGUCGGUCGCC